rnacentral:misc_RNA from 1 species
AGAGCUGGAGACCCAAACCCUUGGAGGAAC